rnacentral:rRNA from 1 species
UGGGGAAUAUUGCACAAUGGGCGCAAGCCUGAUGCAGCCAUGCCGCGUGUGUGAAGAAGGCCUUCGGGUUGUAAAGCACUUUCAGCGAGGAGGAAGGUGGUGAACUUAAUACGUUCAUCAAUUGACGUUACUCGCAGAAGAAGCACCGGCUAACUCCGUGCCAGCAGCCGCGGUAAUACGGAGGGUGCAAGCGUUAAUCGGAAUUACUGGGCGUAAAGCGCACGCAGGCGGUUUGUUAAGUCAGAUGUGAAAUCCCCGGGCUCAACCUGGGAACUGCAUUUGAAACUGGCAAGCUAGAGUCUCGUAGAGGGGGGUAGAAUUCCAGGUGUAGCGGUGAAAUGCGUAGAGAUCUGGAGGAAUACCGGUGGCGAAGGCGGCCCCCCUGGACGAAGACUGACGCUCAGGUGCGAAAGCGUGGGGCAGCAAACAGGAUUAGAUACCCUGGUAGUCCACGCUGUAAACGAUGUCGAUUUGGAGGUUGUGCCCUUGAGGCGUGGNUUCCGGAGCUAACGCGUUAAAUCGACCGCCUGGGGAGUACGGCC